rnacentral:rRNA from 1 species
UUUAGGUUUAAUUCUGGCCUUAGAAGGGUUGUAAAAUUAUAUUCCACAUAAAAUUGGUUUAUUAGCUUCUAUCAAUAAUUGUUUUACAGUAUUAGUGGUAAGAACUUGUGUUAUAUAGUAAUAUAGUUCAGGGUAAUUUUACGCAUAGGUGGAUUAUUCACAGUGCCAGCAUCCGCGGUUAUUCUGUUUACCUAACUCUUCAUAUUUUGGUUUAAAUAUUAUUAACUAUAAUAGCAAAUAGCUGCAAUAGGUUUUUUUGUAAUAAAUAUUUGAGUUAAAUUUAUUGGAGUGCUUUUGUAGGAUAGAGAUUAGAGACCUCUUUACUAAGUUUGGAUUUUUUUCCAUGGUUUUAACUAAAAGGAUUUGGCAGCUGACGAGUUUCAUCCGGGGGAGUGUGCUUUUUAAACAGAUAGUACACUUAUUAAUUUACCAAAUUUAUUUUUAGUUAGUGUAUAUCCGGUUUAAUAUUUGUGAUUUAUUUCCAAAUAAGUGUAUAAUUAUAAAUUUAAGUCAGGUCGAUGUGCUGCUAAUAAUUUGGCUAAUUGUGCAUUACAUUGUAAAGUCUGGUUUUGUAAGUUAACUAGCUUAUUUAGGACUCGGUAGUAGGAUUACUUUAUUUUGGUUAUUCGAAUAUGAUUUAGUUGGGGUACACAUCGCCCGUCAGUUUCAACGAUAGUUGGGAUAAGUCGUAACAUGGUAACAGUUGGGGAACCAGCUGUUAGUAGAUU